rnacentral:tRNA from 1 species
GUGGGCCUGGUGCAAUGGCAGCACGUCAGCUUGUGGAGCUGAAGGCAACGGUUCGAUCCCGUUGACCCACCCCA